rnacentral:ncRNA from 1 species
GGGGUACGCUUAGAGCCCCCGUGAGCACCGUGUAAAUAGCUGUGGCUCUGGCCGGUCAUGGCGGUUUGUGAAUC